UACGGAGGAUGCAAGCGUUAUCCGGAAUGAUUGGGCGUAAAGCGUCCGCAGGUGGCUAUGUAAGUCUGCUGUUAAAGAGUGAGGCUCAACCUCAUAAGAGCAGUGGAAACUACAUGGCUAGAGUGCGUUCGGGGCAGAGGGAAUUCCUGGUGUAGCGGUGAAAUGCGUAGAUAUCUGGAGGAACACCGGUGGCGAAGGCGGCAUCCUGGACCGGCAUUGACGCUGAGGAGCGAAAGCCAGGGGAGCAAACGGG
rnacentral:rRNA from 1 species